rnacentral:rRNA from 1 species
GACGGAGGGUGCAAGCGUUGUUCGGAAUUACUGGGCGUAAAGGGCGCGUAGGCGGCCCGUUAAGUUCGAUGGGAAAUCCCCCGGCUCACCCGGGGAACUUCAUUGGAAACUGGCGGGCUCGAGUACCGGAGAGGAGGGUGGAAUUCCUGGUGUAGCGGUGAAAUGCGUAGAUAUCAGGAGGAACACCGGUGGCGAAGGCGGCCCUCUGGACGAGUACUGACGCUGAGGCGCGAAAGCGUGGGGAUCAAACAGG